AAAAUUCAAUUUCUAGAUAGCUUAAUGUUAAAAAAUAAUAUAAAAAAAAUAUAGAUUAAAGAUUAAAUUUAAUAUCCAUGUACAAAUGAUAAAUUGCUUUGCUAUUUUGAAGAGAGUAAAAUGUAGAAAUUAAGGAAAAAUAAGAGAAAAAAACAGAGAAAGAAAAGAAAAAAAACUGAGUUGUUGGUGCCAAAAUGAACCUCCUUCUUGUACAUUUGUUGCCUUGAAAAAAGAAGUUGCCAAGACGAAUGGAAUUAUAACGAGAAAGGCUGUCCAACGGAGGUCGAUGGCUGCCGCACGCACCGUUGGUUUAAUGAUAUGUGUAAAUGGAAACACGUUGUGGUUAAUACUGAAGCGCAUUACAAACAAUAUGCUUAAGAUCCGUUGGUUUUGAGUUUCGAACAUUUUUUUUGGGGAUAAAAAGCAGUUUGAAACUCAAAAUUAAACAUCCCCUUAGUUUUUUGUCCAUCAAAAUCAUCUACUCAUUCUCAAAUGUUGGGAACAUUCAUCACAUAAUCUCUCAUGUUGGUUAAAUACAUAGACCCCUUUUAUUUUAAUUGUGGGCAUCACAACUCUCAUAUUUUCAAUUUGUUGUCACAUGUGGUUCCCCACUUUCACUUCCUAUGGCUUCCCUCAUGGAUCCUCUGGGACGAUGGAUGAAGCUUCGUGGGUUUCAUAAUAUUGUGCAAUUUUCUUUCCCAGGAUGACUGAUUUGUGUAUGGAGGAUGAAGAAGGAGUUAAAACACAGUAAUUUAAUUGCCGUGCAUGCUAGUUUAGAGAAAGGGAACAGUGUAGAUGAACAGCUAAGGCGCCAAAGAUAGAGGCUCUUAGUGGGAGGAAAAGUGUUUUGGGAUAAACCCAAAAGUGAUUGUUCGGUACCUUGUAUAAAUUUUUUCUUUUAUUUUAUUUUUUCUAAAAAUUGCAAGGACUUUCAUGUGCUGAAACUGUUAGCCCUAAUCUGUCAGUUUCUCCAGCAACCUACUUUCUUCAGUGAGAAAUGACUUGAUGUUGAUGGUUUA